CCUUGUGGCCAAACCACCCUCAAUGUGCCUCAUCUUGUCUGAUCUUGGGAGCUAGGCAGGGUCAGAGCUGGUUAGUUCUUGGAUGGGAGAAGGCUGGUUCUAACACUGA
rnacentral:rRNA from 1 species